GACGAACGCUGGCGGCGUGCUUAACACAUGCAAGUCGAACGGAAAGGCCCUGCUUUUGUGGGGUGCUCGAGUGGCGAACGGGUGAGUAACACGUGAGUAACCUGCCCUUGACUUUGGGAUAACUUCAGGAAACUGGGGCUAAUACCAGAUAGGAGCUCCUGCUGCAUGGUGGGGGUUGGAAAGUUUCGGCGGUUGGGGAUGGACUCGCGGCUUAUCAGCUUGUUGGUGGGGUAGUGGCUUACCAAGGCUUUGACGGGUAGCCGGCCUGAGAGGGUGACCGGCCACAUUGGGACUGAGAUACGGCCCAGACUCCUACGGUAGGCAGCAGGGGGGAAUAUUGCACAAUGGGCGGAAGCCUGAUGCAGCAACGCCGCGUGCGGGAUGACGGCCUUCGGGUUGUAAACCGCUUUCGCCUGCGACGAAGCGUGAGUGACGGUAAUGGGUAAAGAAGCACCGGCUAACUACGUG
rnacentral:rRNA from 1 species